AUGAACGCUGGCGGCGUGCUUAAACACAUGCAAGUCGAACGAAGCAUUUGCGACGGAUUCUUUCGGGAUGAAGAUGCUUAUGACUGAGUGGCGGACGGGUGGGUAACGCGUGGGUAACCUGCCUUAUACAGGGGGAUAGCAGUUGGAAACGACUGGUAAUACCGCAUAAGCGCACGGUAUCGCAUGAUACAGUGUGAAAAACUGAGGUGGUAUAAGAUGGACCCGCGUCUGAUUAGCUGGUUGGUGAGGUAACGGCCCACCAAGGCGACGAUCAGUAGCCGACCUGAGAGGGUGACCGGCCACAUUGGGACUGAGACACGGCCCAGACUCCUACGGGAGGCAGCAGUGGGGAAUAUUGCACAAUGGAGGAAACUCUGAUGCAGCGACGCCGCGUGAGUGAAGAAGUAGUUCGCUAUGUAAAGCUCUAUCAGCAGGGAAGAUAGUGAUGGUACCUGACUAAGAAGCUCCGGCUAAAUACGUG
rnacentral:rRNA from 1 species